UACGGGGGGGAGCAAGCGUUGUUCGGAUUUACUGGGCGUAAAGGGCGCGUAGGCGGCCACCGCAAGUCGAUUGUGAAAUCUCCGGGCUUAACCCGGAAAGGUCAACCGAUACUGCGGGGCUAGAGUGCAGAAGGGGCAACUGGAAUUCUCGGUGUAGCGGUGAAAUGCGUAGAUAUCUGGAGGAACACCCGUGGUGCAGACGGCUUGCUGGACCGUGACUGACGCUGAGGCACGAAAGCGUGGGUAGCAAACAGG
rnacentral:rRNA from 1 species